UACAACAGCGCCAGACCCCACAGGGGUGACGAGGACUGCAGUUAUCGAAUUUUUCGGCGGAUGCUGCAGGGGCCGUACGGUCCAAGGUGUAUUUUAAAAUCCUAAGGUAACUUUGAAACAGAGG
rnacentral:ncRNA from 1 species